rnacentral:lncRNA from 1 species
GGGACAGGUCCUGCUGGGCCCCCCACGAUGCCGAGGUGUGUCCCAUACCCUGUGUCCCAUAUCCCGUGUCCCAUGUCCCGCCCCACAGGGGGGUUACAAGGGGGCCGAGCCCGAGGUGUCCCUCACCGCCUUCGUCCUCGUGGCACUGGAGGAGGCCCGGGAGGCCUGCAAGGAGCACGUGAACAACCUGGACUGGAGCAUCAACAAGGCCGCCGAGUUCCUGGGCCGGCGCUACGAGCAGCUGGCCCGGCCCUACACAGUGGCCCUGAGCUCCUACGCGCUGGCCCUGGCCGGCAAGCUCAAGAGCGAGAAGGUCCUCAUGAAGUUCUCCAAAGGUGGGCAGAGCUGGGAGGAGCGGAACGCCCGGACCUACAACAUCGAGGGCACGUCCUACGCGCUGCUGGCCCUGCUGCACAUGAAGAAGCCGGAGCUGGCGGGGCCUGUGGUGCGCUGGCUCGCCCAGCAGAACUACUUCGGGGGCGGCUACGGCUCCACCCAGGUGGGCUACGGACCCCCCCGGCACCCGGGGGUGGUUCUGGGGACCCUGGUGAAGCUCUGAGGUGGAGUCUCACCUGGGGCUCAGAAUUGGGGUCGGGGAGGGGGUUCUGGGGUCCCCAGUGAAGCUCUGAGGUGCAGCCUCACCUGGAGCUCAGAAUUGGGGUCGGGGAGGUGGUUCUGGGGUCCCUGGUGAAGCUCUGAGGUGGAGUCUCACCUGGGGCUCAGAAUUGGGGUCGGGGAGGGGGUUCUGGGGUCCCUGGUGAAACUCCAAGGUGGAGUCUCACCUGGGGCUCAGAAUUGGGGUCGGGGAGAU